CAGCAGGUAAUAAUUUAUUGAAAAUCUUUGGCAUAAAUAUGACAAAGGAAUCUUACAUUUGCUUAGACUUAUUUUUUUUUUUUUUGGAUUAUUGGAAGCAGCCCAAGCAAAACUGAAUGAAUGGACGGCAUGCAGGAGAUCCUGCGCACAUCGCAGUCAGGGAGGAAACAGGAUGUCUGGAACAAGCGCAGGUGAUGCCUCUGGGCUUGACCUUGACACUGCAGCUGGUGCUUGCAGGGCUGGAUUCCUGUCUUCUUGAGCCUUGUGAAGCUUGGCAGUGUACAACAGCCUACCAUGCAUCACAGGAUGCAUUUUCAGGACCGGAAGCCAAGCUGUUAUUGUUAUUUACAGAGAACCUUUUCGCCAUAUGGGAGGCUUUCCUUCUAGAAAAGUUUCAAAUGCAGCAACCGAUCCUGCACUGCUCUUCCAUCACUCUUGUACAGGUCAUGGUGGGACAGCUGGAAGCCUCUUUCUGUCUUCGUUCAAACAAGUACCAAAGAGAGUUUUACGAGAUCCAUCAGCAAAUGCUGCAAUCCAAGCACAUGCUAGGGCAACUCACAGUCACUUUGAAAGCAGGACUGCCCUGUGAUUUCAGCAGGGACUUCCUGAAAACACGUGGUGCAGUGUGGUCUUUGGCAUUUAUAUCCCGUCUCACUUCAGGCAUGGGGGAAAAAAAAACAACCCAGGAAAAUUUAAAUAAAACAAAUCAAGAUUAGUGUAAUCUCAGCGUUAUGAAUGUAUAUGCUCCGACUUCAGGAAAUUAUCUUUUUCAGCCUUCCAUCAACUCAGCUGUUGAGCAUAUGUUGGCCUUGGUUAGUUUUGUUAUGUUUGAGGGCACAGACAUCAGUAUGUAUCUAAUAUUUGUUUCAUAUCUCUGAGAUUUACAAUUGAUAUGUAUACUUUAAUACUUCUGAUAACAUAUAAUGUUUGUCUUCUAAAUCUCUGGGACAGUGGCCAUCAGCCUGUUCUUGUGCUGGUAACAAUAAGUUAAUGCACAUGUGCAUGUGUAUGCAUAUCUAUGGCUCUUGAUAUGUGACUAUGUCUCCUUGGGACUAUCGGUAGGUGCAGGACGCAUUUACCAGGAUAUUAUGCACCUCUGGAGACACACUAGUGCAGCUCAGAGCUGGGCCAAUGACAGCAGCUUGAUCAGAGCUGUGUCCAGUCUGGGCUUUAACAUGUGUUAGUAGAAAGGUGGCAGAACAUGAGACAGCAGUGGGCAAGAAAGCCAAUGGCAUCCUGCCUUGUAUCUGAUAGUGCAGCCAGUGGGAGCAGGGAGGUGAUCAUCCCUCUGGACUCAGCCCUAGUGAGGCCACACCUUGAGUACUGUGUUCAGUUUUGGGCUACUCACUACAAGAAAAACAUUGAGGCUCUGGAGUGUGUCCAGAGAAGAGCAACAAAGCUGUGAAGGUCUGGAGCACAAGUCGUAUGGGGAGUGACUGAGAGAACUGGGAUUGCUCAGUCUGGAGGAGAAUCGGGGAUGACCUUAUUGCUCUCCACAACAUGAAAGGAGGCUGUGGUGAGGCAGGGGUUGGCCUCUUCUCACAGGUGACCCCUAUAGGAUGAGAGGUAUUAUGUUAUCGACCUUACGUUGCACCAGGGGAAGUUCAGGUUGGAUAUUAGGAAACAUUUCUUCUCAGAAUGAGUGUUGAUGCACUGACACUGGCUGCCCAGGGUGAUGCUGUAGUCACCAACCCUGGAGGUGUUCAAGAAAAGGGC
ensembl:lncRNA